AGAUUUAGAUAAAGCAUUCAGAAUGGGGUGACAUUUGAGUAAAGACAAAGGAAUUCAGAGGUUCGCCAUGUAGAUAUUUGGGGGAAUAGCAUUACAGUAGAGAGUGCAAAGACCAAGGGCACAGGUCUUGAUGUUGAUAUUGAAACAUUCUUGGAGAGUUUAAGGAAUGAUAUCUCAUCUUUCCCUGUAGCGACUUAUUUUUCCCAGCACACUAUUGUGUAAGAAACUAACUAAAACAUUCAACUGUGUUAACUGGCUAGCAGAUGAUUUCCUUGUCUACUAAUCCUGGAGUAAUUUGUGCCUAGGAUUGGCAUCUUCUUUUCUAGUUUCCUUUAGGUUCCAGUUUAAGCCAGUAACGUCACCAUCACCGAGACAUCCAGCCACCCUGUUCUGGGGCCAAUUCUUUCUUCAUAGUCCGAACAUUGCUCUUAAGGAGACCCCUAAUAUGAUACCCUUUGACUGGCAAUAAAAUUUAGAAAUGCUUUUCAGAGCUAGGAAAUUUAUCUCCUUUCCUGAAGAUUAAAAAAAAAAAAAAAUUGGAACAGAGAGCUCCCAUUGUGACUAGGAACCAUGAGGUUGCGGGUUCGGUCCCUGGCCUUCCUCAGUGGGUUAAGGAUCCGGUGUUGCCGUGAGCUGUGGUGUAGGUCGCAGACGCGGCUCGGAUCCCGCGUUGCUGUGGCUCUGGUGUAGGCCAGUAGCUACAGCUCUGAUUAACCCCUAGCCUGGGAACCUCCAUAUGCCACAGGAGUGGCCCUAGAAAAGGCAAAAAGACAACAACAAAAAAAGGAACAAUAAAACCUAUGUUACAGGGCUUGUGAUAUUUAAAUUAGAUGAUGAAUCUGAAAUGCAUACUACAGUGCCUGACAUAUAGAAAGCUCAAUAAAUACCAACAGUUAUUUAUUUAUUUAUUUAUAAAAGCUACCUUUCCUUCAAUGUCUAGGUCUGUGACUUGUUACUGCUUUUUCUUUUCUCCACAUCAGGUCAAUGGUGAAAACGUCUAGGAAAUUUACCUCAUCACUUAUUUUCAUGGGGACAGUCAUUAUUUUCCUUUAUCCUCUUGGGAUCCUAGUUUCCUAGUACACUGAUACACUCAGGGUGCUGAAAGACAUCAAUGGAACACUCAGAUGAGGCUUUUAUUUUCAUUUAUCUAAUGAAUAAUAAUAUUAAGAAUUUUGGGGAGUUCCCAUUGUGGCUCAGCAGGUUAUGAAACCAUUAAUAUCCAUGAGGCUGUGGGUUCUAUCCCUGGCCUUGCUUAGUGGGUUCGGGAUCCUGCAUUGCUACGGUUGUGGUGUAGGCCAGCAGCUGCACCUCUGAUUUGACCCCUAGCCUGGGAACUUCCAUAUGCCACAAUCGUGGCCCUCAAAAGCAAAAAAAAAAAAAAAAAA
rnacentral:lncRNA from 1 species